CGAGGUCUAAAAUUGGAUGACUGAAUCGAUAACGAAUUUAAAAUUGGCAGAACUUGGAAAUACAAUGUCAAGUAUAUGCAUUAAUUGAAUCAAAUACCUUUUCCAAAUUGCAAUUCUGUCAAUGGCAAAGCAAAAUAAAUAGUCAAGUAAACGGUAGCUGGCGAGAAACAGUUGUUGCACCAGUUCAAAAUUAACUACUGGUCCACAAUCUUGAGAAAGAGUCUGUCGACACAAUCAGACAGGUGCCGAUCGAUAUUUUCGCGCAGGUGUCCUAGUUGCCGUCCUAGGAAAGUGGGAAGGAGCGCUGGGCUCAGCGACGUUUCCGGUUGGGUCCAUAUGUAGCCUGUGCGAGUCAUGCUGCAGUGUGCAUCGUAAUAUCUUCCUG